rnacentral:rRNA from 1 species
CGCUGGCGGCGUGCCUAAUACAUGCAAGUCGGACGGUCUUUUCUAUGGAAGCUUGCUUCCACUGAGAAGAUAGUGGCGAACGGGUGAGUAACACGUGGGUAACCUGCCCAUAAGAGGGGGAUAACAUCCGGAAACGGGUGCUAAUACCGCAUAGUUUUCUUGAUCGCAUGAUUGAGAAAGGAAAGACGGCCUUUGUGCUGUCGCUUAUGGAUGGACCCGCGGCGUAUUAGUUAGUUGGUGAGGUAACGGCUCACCAAGACGAUGAUACGUAGCCGACCUGAGAGGGUGAUCGGCCACAUUGGGACUGAGACACGGCCCAAACUCCUACGGGAGGCAGCAGUAGGGAAUCUUCCGCAAUGGACGAAAGUCUGACGGAGCAACGCCGCGUGAGUGAAGAAGGUUUUCGGAUCGUAAAACUCUGUUGUCAGAGAAGAACAAGUUGGAGAGUAACUGCUCCAGCCUUGACGGUAUCUGACCAGAAAGCCACGGCUAACUACGUGCCAGCAGCCGCGGUAAUACGUAGGUGGCAAGCGUUGUCCGGAUUUAUUGGGCGUAAAGCGAGCGCAGGCGGUUCCUUAAGUCUGAUGUGAAAGCCCACGGCUCAACCGUGGAGGGUCAUUGGAAACUGGGGAACUUGAGUGCAGAAGAGGAGAGUGGAAUUCCAUGUGUAGCGGUGAAAUGCGUAGAUAUAUGGAGGAACACCAGUGGCGAAGGCGACUCUCUGGUCUGUAA